rnacentral:lncRNA from 1 species
AAUUUUCUUGUUGGUGAUAUGGAUGCAAUUGAAUGCAUGAAUGCAUGGAUGCAACAAUCACACUCAAGAAUCAAGCAAGUCACGCCACACAAAGGUCACGGGAUGGAUCAAGUUAUCCUUAAUAUCAAUCAUCCAUUUUGGUGGAUUAUGGUUUACACCUUAUCAACACCCAAGUUCGAUUGAUAUUGAGGAUAUAAGAGAACGGAU